UGUUCGUUCCUUUUUAAUUCACGCGAGGAAGGAAUACCGUAUGGGGCUGCGGCGUACGAACCGCCGGUGAUGGAGGCCGCGGUUGGGGGCUGUGACGGGAGAUUCCCUGAGCCGUGGCUCGGGUCUGCCUUCUACUCCCGAUCCGUGGCUCAAGAGGUCUCUCCCACCCGUGGCCCUGUUUUCUUGCAUCGCCAUUGACGCCCACUGAGAUCUGCGGCGGAAGGAAUACACGGUGGCGAUCCCCGGAGGCCGGGAUGGAGUUCCUCAUGCAACCGAUUAGGAGGACCGUGGUGAUGAAAGAGGUGAACGACAACGAGCUACCAUUGGAGCCGCAGCUCUACCCAGCUUUGGCGACAGGAACCGAAGAACUGCCCCCAAUGGCCACCGGUAGCAUUGGCGGGCAGAUAUGUGCGGCGGAUGUGGUAGCCGGAGCCGAGGGGGAUGAUGAACCGCAAGCAUCUGAGCAAUCUAUAGGUCAAAUUGAUCCAAAAACUCCUGGCUGGUCUCGCAAGGUCAGAAUUGGAGCUGUUGCUCCGGAGAGGGCACCUUGCCAUGGACGGCCCAGCGCCCUUGAGAAGACAAUUCACGGAUUCACUCAGAAGCGAGGUGACAUUGUAAUUGUGCCUGCAUUGGGCACAAGCUUUGAUACACUCGGUGAAGCCUAUGAUUUCUACAACCUUUACUCGUGGGAGAAGGGGUUUGGAAUAAGGUACGGGAAGAGUAGACUGAAUGUGGAGAGUACAAAGGGCAUGCAAGAAACUGUUUGUGGUUGUGCGGGAAAAGCUGGAGUUGAGAACAGUAGAGCUUGCCGAUGCGAGUGCCCUGCACUGAUAAUGUUGCUCCGUUCAAAGGACAAUGGUUGGUACAUAGCUGAGCAUCACGAGCAUCACAGCCUUCACACAAGCACAUCACUGUCUACGACAUGGGCAGACAAUACACUGGCCUUCACACAAGCACAUCGACGUCUACAACAGAGACUUGGUUGAGCAAUUGCAUCAGAACAAUGUGAAUCUAGCCAAAGUAUAUAGCAUUGUCGGAAGUUUUUUUUGGCUCAAUGGAGAAGGUGCCUUUCACAAAACGAGCUCUGAAGAAUUUGUGUGGUAAAAUCAGCAGAGAGCAAAGCAGAAGAUGAUGCGAGGAAAACUAUGGAGGUUUUCGCAGAACUCGGCUCAAGAUAUCCACACUUCACCUAUCGUGUACAAGCGGACAAGGAUGAUCGGAUAACAACUUUGAUGUGGGCAAAAGGGAGCAGCAGGUUGCAGUACACAUUCUUUGGAGAUGUUGUCAGCUUCGACGUGACAUACAGAGGUGUGAAUAAUCAUUUUCAGAGCAUCUUCCUGGCUGGGGUUUUGGUCCAUGAUGAGAAGGUGGAGACAUAUUUGAGUGGGUUUUCAGUUUUCACAAAGUUCAUCUGGAUGAUGGGAGGGAGUGCACCAAAAACAAUUCUAACAGGUCUGAAGCGGAAGAAUAAAACCAUUUGUGUAACUGGCUGUACUUCGGCGCUGCAAACCGUAGAUCAAAUCUAAUUCCAAGGAUCUCUGCGUAUAGUUCUCUAAUGGUGAAGAAAUUAAUCCAAAUGUUAAGAGAUAACCCAGGGUUCUGUAGGGUAAGCACCACUACUAGUGUGGUUUAAAAAAAUGAGUGGUUGGGUGAGAUACUAACAUGGUUGAGGACUGGAUGUGAAAAUGCAGACUAGGCCCGGGGUUACAUGGACUCGUGACAUUAGGAAUUGCAUCCUCUGAUGGCGGAUAAUGCAUGCACAGUCAGUGUGUUCGCCUUAGAUGUACGUUAGUCUCAGUUUGUCUAAUUCCGGUACUAACUAAUUGUAAUCUUGAUACCAGCUUUUUUGGAGCCCCCCAGCUGAUAUUCCUCGGACUGACAUGGCAAACAUUGAUAGUGUUGCAAACAUGGCAAAUACUGAGCCCAAGCAGCAGCCCCACGGCACGGGUGAUAUGGAUGUGGUGCCAAAUGCUGAACAAGAGACUGUCAAAACGGAACGUGAGCAAACUAUGUUAGCACCCCAAGCCAACAAUGUGAAUCAUGUGAUGCAGAGAAUGGAAGUGGAGCCUGAGCGUGGAGUUUGCAUAGAUGUAACUGGCAAGGAGGCACUCCGUCGCAGGCCAAGAUUUCAAAUUGCUCCAAACGAUAAGGGAUAGGGUCCAAUGGAGGAAAGUGAUCUAGAGUCUUCGGACAGUGAUGAAGACAUGCCAACCAGGUUUGCUAGGAUAUCUAGGAAGAUGCAAGAGUGUUAAGGCAGCAUGAAAGAGUCCAACAAAUGAAUGGUAACCGGCAAGAAGGGUUCCCGUCAUAAGUGUCAAAGUGUGCGAGGGGUUGAAGUUUCAAUGCCCCAAUUGCAACAGUGGAACCUGAAUAUUUACAUGUAGUUGAACCUUACAUCAUUCAUAUGCAAGUCCAGCAGCAGGACACCAAAUUUGAUCUUCGGUACGACAGGACACCACAAGUGGUUUGACUAGCAAAAUCACGAGGCUUGCGCUAAGACAGAGUACAGAUUGAGAGACCAACUCAUCCACGUGAUGGUCCGGUAAGAUUGUGUGCGCAACAGUAAAUUAGACAGCCGCUGAUACGUCUUCAAUGUAUUUAUAAUUUAUGAAGUAUUCAUACUAUUAUAUUAUUCUUUUAGGAUAUUUUAUAUGCAUUUAUAUGCUAUUUUAUAUGAUUUUUGGGACUAACCUAUUAACCUAGAGCGCAGUGCCAGUUUCUGUUUUUUC